GAUCAAUAUUUGCCCUUGUUUUGAAAAUAAGGUUUGAGUGAGUAGAAUACACUCAUUGAUUU
rnacentral:tRNA from 1 species